AUUGAACGCUGGCGGCAGGCCUAACACAUGCAAGUCGAACGGUAACAGGAAGCAGCUUGCUGCUUCGCUGACUAGUGGCUGACGGGUGAGUUAUGUCUGGGAAACUGCCUGAUGGAGGUGGUUAACUUCUGGAAACUGUAGCUAAUACCGCAUAACGUCGCAAUACCAAAGAGGGGGACCUUAGGGCCUCUUGCCAUCGGAUUUGCCCAUCUGGGAUUAGCUAGUAGGUGGGGUAACGGCUCACCUAGGCGACGAUCCCUAGCUGGUCUGAGAGGAUGACUAGGCACACUGGAAGUGAGACACGGCACAGACACCUACGGGAGGAAGCAGUGGGGAAUAUUGCACAAGGGGCGCGAGCCUGAUGCAGCCAAGCCGCGUGUAUGAAGAAGGACUUAGGGUUGUAAAGUACUGUAAGUGGGGAGGAAGGGAGUAAAGUUAACACCUUUGCUCAUUGACGUUACCCGCAGAAGAAGCGCCGGCUAACUCCGUG
rnacentral:rRNA from 1 species